GGCAGACGGGUGAGUAACAUGUGGGAAUCUGCCUUGUGGUUCAGGACAACAUUGGGAAACCGAUGCUAAUACUGGAUAAGCCCUUACGGGGAAAGUUUUAAUGCCAUAAGAUGAGCCCGCAUUUGAUUAGUUAGUUGGUGAGGUAAUGGCUCACCAAGACAAUGAUCAAUAGCUGAUCUGAGAGGAUGAUCAGCCACACUGGGACUGAGACACGGCCCAGACUCCUACGGGAGGCAGCAGUGGGGAAUCUUGCACAAUGGAGGAAACUCUGAUGCAGCGAUGCCGCGUGAGUGAAGAAGGCCUUUGGGUUGUAAAGCUCUUUUGUAGGGGAAGAUAAUGACUGUACCCUAAGAAUAAGGUCCGGCUAACUUCGUGCCAGCAGCCGCGGUAAUACGAAGGGACCUAGCGUAGUUCGGAAUUACUGGGCGUAAAGCGCGCGUAGGCCGUUGAGUUAGUUAAUUGUGAAAUCCCAAAGCUUAACUUUGGAACUGCAAUUAAAACUGCUCGACUAGAGUUUGAUAGAGGAAAGCGGAAUACAUAGUGUAGAGGUGAAAUUCGUAGAUAUUAUGUAGAACACCAGUUGCGAAGGCGGCUUUCUGGAUCAACACUGACGCUGAGGCGCGAAAGUAUGGGUAGCAAAGAGGAUUAGAUACCCUCGUAGUCCAUACCAUAAACGAUGAUUGCUGGAUGUUGGAAAUUUAUUUUCAGUAUCGCAGCUAACGCAUUAAGCAAUCCGCCUGGGGAGUACGACCGCAAGGUUAAAACUCAAAUGAAUUGACGGGGACCCGCACAAGCGGUGGAGCGUGGGGUUUAAUUCGAUGCAACGCGAAGAACCUUACCAGGGCUUGACAUGACCAGGAAUCCGGCGGAAACGUCGGCGCCCCGCAAGGGGCCUGGCCACAGGUGUUGCAUGGCUGUCGUCAGCUCGUGUCGUGAGAUGUUGGGUUAAGUCCCGCAACGAGCGCAACCCCUACCGUGUGUUGUAUCACUCACACGGGACUGCCGAGAGAAACUCGGAGGAAGGCGGGGAUGACGUCAAGUCAGCAUGGCCCUUACGUCCUGGGCUACACCCACGCUACAAUGGCCGGUACAACGGGCGGCGAAACCGCGAGGUGGAGCAAAUCCCUUAAAGCCGGUCUCAGUUCGGAUUGUAGGCUGCAACUCGCCUACAUGAAGCCGGAGUUGCUAGUAACCGCCGGUCAGCAUACGGCGGUGAAUAUGUUCCCGGGGCUUGUACACACCGCCCGUCACGUCAUGAAAG
rnacentral:rRNA from 1 species